rnacentral:rRNA from 1 species
AAUAGAUACCCCGGUAGUCCUAGCCGUAAACGAUGCAUACUUGGUGUAGUCGGACUCAACCCCGACUGUGCCGUAGCCAACGCGUUAAGUAUGCCGCCUGGGGAGUACGCUCGCAAGGGUGAAACUCAAAAGAAUUGACGGGGACCCGCACAAGCAGUGGAGCAUGUGGUUUAAUUCGAUGCAACGCGAAGAACCUUACCCAGACUUGACAUGUAGCGGACCGCCUCAGAAAUGAGGUUUUCUGUAUAGACUGCUACACAGGUGCUGCAUGGCUGUCGUCAGCUCGUGCCGUGAGGUGUUGGGUUAAGUCCCGCAACGAGCGCAACCCUUAUCGUUAGUUGCCAGCAUUUCGGAUGGGAACUCUAACGAGACUGCCUGGGUUAACCAGGAGGAAGGUGAGGAUGACGUCAAGUCCGCAUGGCCCUUAUGUCUGGGGCUACACACGUGCUACAAUGGCCGGUACAGAAGGCAGCGAAGCCGCGAGGUGAAGCUAAUCCGAAAAAGCCGGUCCCAGUUCGGA